rnacentral:rRNA from 1 species
GAUGAACGCUAGCGACAGGCUUAACACAUGCAAGUCGAGGGGCAGCGGGGUGUAGCAAUACACCGCCGGCGACCGGCGCACGGGUGAGUAACGCGUAUGCAACUUGCCUAUCAGAGGGGGAUAACCCGGAGAAAGUCGGACUAAUACCGCAUGAAGCAGGGGCCCCGCAUGGGGAUAUCUGCUAAAGAUUCAUCGCUGAUAGAUAGGCAUGCUUUCCAUUAGGAAGUUGGCGGGGUAACGGCCACCAAACCGAAGAUGGAUAGGGGUUCUGAGAGGAAGGUCCCCCACAUUGGUACUGAGACACGGACCAAACGCCUACGGGAGGCAGCAGUGAGGAAUAUUGGUCAAUGGGCGCUAGCCUGAACCAGCCAAGUCGCGUGAGGGAUGAAGGUUCUAUGGAUCGUAAACCUCUUUUAUAAGGGAAUAAAGUGCGGGACUUGUCCCGUUUUGUAUGUACCUUAUGAAUAAGGAUCGGCUAACUCCGUGCCAGCAGCCGCAGUAA